CUUGUUCCCUUAUCUGGGUGGCUUGAGAGCCAGACACAUUUAUGCUGUCCUGUAUCUAUUGGGAUUUGUUAACAUAAAAACAGCAUUCCUCCUGGAGGAAGACACAGAUACUCCGGGGAUGCAAAGAGUGCAUCAGGCGCCUUUCGGUUUUGCAACACCAUUCCAGCGAGGGAGCAAAGUUCACUCUGCAAAUCUCCCACCACUUUAGUCAUUCAUGUCAGCCAUCUGUCCGGAUACAUCCCUGCAAACCUCAUUUGCAGUCAUAAGCCCCCCUACUCCCGCCGCUGUAGCUGCCAAGAUGCUGCUUUCCACGAUGAGGGGUAGGCAGGACGCGGAUCGCACUUCGGAAGCCGAGAGGAGAGCCGUAUUCAGUAACAGCCAGAUCUGGAAGUGUUCUAGUUUUAAACCCAUUGCCCUGAUGUCAGAUAUCCGGUGGGGAAUAGUAGUAGAAUCCUCAACGUUGGUGUGCUUUAAGGUGCCCAGUGUAAAAAGCAAGACUGUCUAUGGAGCAGACUUCAGAGAAAGAGGCUUCUCUGGUCCUGCUGGUUUUCUUUUGUUCUGUGCUGUGCAGAAAAUCCUCCCCUCC